GAACAUAAGAGUUUGAUCCUGGCUCAGAUUGAACGCUGGCGGCAUGCUUUACACAUGCAAGUCGGACGGCAGCACAGAGAAGCUUGCUUCUUGGGUGGCGAGUGGCGAACGGGUGAGUAACAUAUCGGAACGUACCGAGUAGUGGGGGAUAACUGAUCGAAAGAUCAGCUAAUACCGCAUACGUCUUGAGAGGGAAAGCAGGGGACCUUCGGGCCUUGCGCUAUUCGAGCGGCCGAUAUCUGAUUAGCUGGUUGGUGGGGUAAAGGCUCACCAAGGCGACGAUCAGUAGCGGGUCUGAGAGGAUGAUCCGCCACACUGGGACUGAGACACGGCCCAGACUCCUACGGGAGGCAGCAGUGGGGAAUUUUGGACAAUGGGCGCAAGCCUGAUCCAGCCAUGCCGCGUGUCUGAAGAAGGCCUUCGGGUUGUAAAGGACUUUUGUCAGGGAAGAAAAGGCUGUUGCUAAUAUCAGCGGCUGAUGACGGUACCUGAAGAAUAAGCACCGGCUAACUACGUGCCAGCAGCCGCGGUAAUACGUAGGGUGCGAGCGUUAAUCGGAAUUACUGGGCGUAAAGCGGGCGCAGACGGUUACUUAAGCAGGAUGUGAAAUCCCCGGGCUCAACCCGGGAACUGCGUUCUGAACUGGGUGACUCGAGUGUGUCAGAGGGAGGUAGAAUUCCACGUGUAGCAGUGAAAUGCGUAGAGAUGUGGAGGAAUACCGAUGGCGAAGGCAGCCUCCUGGGAUAACACUGACGUUCAUGCCCGAAAGCGUGGGUAGCAAACAGGAUUAGAUACCCUGGUAGUCCACGCCCUAAACGAUGUCAAUUAGCUGUUGGGCAACUUGAUUGCUUGGUAGCGUAGCUAACGCGUGAAAUUGACCGCCUGGGGAGUACGGUCGCAAGAUUAAAACUCAAAGGAAUUGACGGGGACCCGCACAAGCGGUGGAUGAUGUGGAUUAAUUCGAUGCAACGCGAAGAACCUUACCUGGUCUUGACAUGUACGGAAUCCUCCAGAGACGGAGGAGUGCCUUCGGGAGCCGUAACACAGGUGCUGCAUGGCUGUCGUCAGCUCGUGUCGUGAGAUGUUGGGUUAAGUCCCGCAACGAGCGCAACCCUUGUCAUUAGUUGCCAUCAUUCAGUUGGGCACUCUAAUGAGACUGCCGGUGACAAGCCGGAGGAAGGUGGGGAUGACGUCAAGUCCUCAUGGCCCUUAUGACCAGGGCUUCACACGUCAUACAAUGGUCGGUACAGAGGGUAGCCAAGCCGCGAGGUGGAGCCAAUCUCACAAAACCGAUCGUAGUCCGGAUUGCACUCUGCAACUCGAGUGCAUGAAGUCGGAAUCGCUAGUAAUCGCAGGUCAGCAUACUGCGGUGAAUACGUUCCCGGGUCUUGUACACACCGCCCGUCACACCAUGGGAGUGGGGGAUACCAGAAGUAGGUAGGGUAACCGCAAGGAGUCCGCUUACCACGGUAUGCUUCAUGACUGGGGUGAAGUCGUAACAAGGUAGCCGUAGGGGAACCUGCGGCUGGAUCACCUCCUUU
rnacentral:rRNA from 1 species